ensembl:lncRNA ADAM3A ADAM metallopeptidase domain 3A (pseudogene)
ACAACGGCCAUCCCUGUGGCUGGGCCGCCGGCUACGCAAUGCUGUCUCUCUUGCUGAUCCUCUCAGGCCUGGGCCGGCUGACCUCCGCGGGCCCACGCCACUUAUUCCAUCAAAAUUGAGGGGAAACCAUACACUUCCUGCUUGAAAAACAGUCAUUUUUACACCCACAUUUCCUGGUGUAUUUAUACAACAAAUCAGGAACAUUGUAUGCAGAUUCUUCAUUUUCAAAGGGUCAUUGCUUUUACCAAGGAUAUGCUGCAGACAUUCCAAAAUCAGUUGUGGCACUACGCACCUGUUCUGGACUCAGAGGAUUACUGCAGUUAGAUAAUAUCAGUUAUGGUAUUGAACCAUUGGAAUCUUCACCUACAUAUAAGCAUGUAGUUUAUCGAAUUAAAAAUGAUGCUAUUGGUCAUUCCUCCUUUCAAGAAAAUUAUCCUGUGGCUCAAUAUAUAGAUCAGUCCUACAGGAUUCUUGUCAAAUCAGACAUAAAUUCAGGUGCCAUGCUAUCGAAAAGAACUCUGAAAAUACAAAUCAUUAUGGAUAAAGCCAUGUAUGCUUAUAUGGGCUCCACGGUGGCAGUUGCAGUUGAGAAAGUUUUCCAAAUCUUUGGUCUUAUCAACACUAUGUUUUCCCAGCUUAAUAUGACAGUUAUGCUGUCUUCCUUGGAGAUCUGGUCAGAUCAAAAUAAGAUUUCAACAAGUGGUCAUGCUGAUGAAAUACUACAGCGAUUUUUGCCUUGGAAACAAAAAUUUUUGUUUCAAAGGUCUCAUGAUAUGACAUACUUAUUAAUUUAUAGGAACCAUUCUACUUAUGUGGGAGCAACAUAUCACGGAAUGGCAUGCGAUCCAAAGUUUGCAACAGGAAUUGCUCUGUAUCCAAAGAAAAUCACUGCAGAGGCCUUUUCAGUUGUUAUGGCACAGUUGCUUGGAAUUAAUCUGGGAUUGACAUAUGAUGAUAUCUACAAUUGUUACUGUCCAGGAACUACAUGCAUAAUGAAUCCUGAUGCGAUAUGAUCCCAUGUCUUAAAUGGAAUAAAAUGAAGAGAUUUCGGAGCAAAGUGGGAACAGUAAGCAGCAGAUCUAUCUCAGAAGACAGCGGUAGUAACAGCAGCCAGUCACAGAGUUAAAGUAACCAAGUGAUAAAAUCAAAGCCAUCGGAUGAAGAAAGGAUAUUACCAAGAAACUCACCAUUAACUUAAAACUUUCAACUUCACAGAAAAAAAUAAAUCAUAUGACUAAAAGCAUA